AUAUCAGUAAGCGGAGGAAAAGAAACUAACAAGGAUUCCCCUAGUAACGGCGAGUGAAGCGGGAAAAGCUCAAAUUUAAAAUCUGGUGUGCCUUUGGUCACCCGAGUUGUAGUCUAGAGAGGCGUUUUCUGUGCUGGACCGUGUAAAAGUCUCUUGGAACAGAGCAUCAUAGAGGGUGAGAAUCCCGUCUUUGACAUGGACUACCAGUGCUAUGUGUUGCGUCUUCAACGAGUCGAGUUGUUUGGGAAUGCAGCUCAAAAUGGGUGGUAAAUUCCAUCUAAAGCUAAAUAUUGGCGAGAGACCGAUAGCGAACAAGUACCGUGAGGGAAAGAUGAAAAGCACUUUGGAAAGAGAGUUAAACAGUAC
rnacentral:rRNA from 1 species